GAACGUAGCAGAGAGGAAGUGACAUCACUUUAUUGUACAGAGGGAGACAUCGUGAAGUGGGAGCAGAACAACUGGGAUACUAAAACCUGCGCACCAAUUCCUGAUCACAGCCUGCAUUGUGUGUGGUCAGAUUAUGAGGUGAAGCUGAUGUGUGACAUCACAGCCAGUGAGCUCAACAAGGCCACAGACAUCGUCCAUCACUGGCUCAAACAGGUGCUUCCGGACAGCUUCGGUUUACACACUGUGGAGGUCUUUCAUGCACC